AGCCAGUCUCCCGCAGUUCACCCCGGCCUUAUUAAACCAGUUCACCACACGUAACACAGACGACAGUGGUAAUAUUUGACCAGCUGGCGUGAAGGGGGACUCACGAGACACCACUCACACACAAGGACAGCUGGUGACGAGGCUAAACUAACUAAAUAAUCACCAAAACACAUGAACACACGCCAGCCUCACCAGCUGACCGAGUUGAAUAUCGCGGCUUUAAAAAUAUUCAUAACAGCUGAUUUGAUAAUAUUUCGCUGUGUGGGAUUACGUUAUAGCCUUUACAACGAAUACUUUACCAUAAAAAUUACGUUAAAAAUAAAAUAUCACCAUUAAAACACCAGAAAAACCCAAAAAAUGUAAAUAAAUAGGAAAAAUAAAAAAGAAAUUGUGACUCGCGGGUCAGCAACACUGAAGUAAACAAACCGAGUCACAGAAGGAGAGGAGAUAGAAAAAAGUGAAUAAACGAAGGAAAUAGAGCAGAGAGAAGAACAGGAGGAAGUAGAGAGGAGCAGGAGGAGUAGCAGAAGUAGGAAAGGCGUCCUGGUAGCGGUAAAUAAGAUAACCACAUCUAACUGAAGUACAAGAAAAACAAGACAAUCAAAACAAGAAUCAAGCAAAUCAAGAGAAAAUUGAGUGAAACGAGAUCUAAAUUAAGCCACCAAGCCAGCCUUAAGCCACAAACCCACAAACCCAGCCAAAAUUAAGCCACUAAGCCACAAACCCAGCC